ACACGCCCCAAAUCUCUCGACUCCUUUCUACUCGAAACACGACGAUUCCACUCCAUUCAUCUUUUUAUAAUCGUCGGCAGAUCUUAAUUCUACGAAAAAGAGAUUCGACUUUCUUCUCCCAAAUAUUUUCUCCUGGGUAUCCGAUUGUUCAAUUCGAGGCAUUCCUCCACCAGUAACUUCAUCCUAAGGUAAUGUAUACAUACCAAUUCAAGUUAGAAACAGGUUCUGGCCUUCUAUUCAUAGAUAUGUGAUUAAAUCAUCUAAUUUGUAUUAAUUACACUGUAUUAUUAAAAUCCAAUGUACUAGAUACCUCUUCGUAUGGCUUUUGAACAGCGUCAAUGAGAAAAUCAAGAGCCUGAAUAUUGCUUAUAACCCUUGAGACAUCACUCCUUUGCAG
rnacentral:lncRNA from 1 species